UCCCUGGUGGCUCAGAGGUUAAAGCAUCUGCCUGCAAUGUAGGAGACCUGGGUUCAAUCCCUGGGUUGGGAA
rnacentral:tRNA from 1 species